UACGUAGGGUGCGAGCGUUGUCCGGAAUUAUUGGGCGUAAAGGGCUCGUAGGCGGUUUGUCGCGUCGGGAGUGAAAACCUCGGGCUUAACUCGGGGCUUGCUUUCGAUACGGGCAGACUAGAGGUAUGCAGGGGAGAACGGAAUUCCUGGUGUAGCGGUGAAAUGCGCAGAUAUCAGGAGGAACACCGGUGGCGAAGGCGGGUCUCUGGGCCGAUAUCGACGCUGAGGAGCGAAAGCGUGGGGAGCGAACAGG
rnacentral:rRNA from 1 species